UGCGACCUCAGGUUAGGUGAGACUACCCGCUGAAUUUAAGCAUAUUAAUAACG
rnacentral:rRNA from 2 species